ACGCGUCUCCGUUGAUGAUUUCAGGUGCUUGCACCUGAAAGAUUUAACAUUGAGACGAGUGGCGAACUGGUGAGUAACACGUGGGUAACCUGCCCUUGAAGUAGGGGAUAACACUUGGAAACAGGUGCUAAUACCGUAUAACAACCAAAACCACCUGGUUUUGGUUUAAAAGACGGCUUCGGCUGUCACUUUAGGAUGGACCCGCGGCGUAUUAGCUUGUUGGUAAGGUAACGGCUUACCAAGGCGAUGAUACGUAGCCGACCUGAGAGGGUAAUCGGCCACAUUGGGACUGAGACACGGCCCAAACUCCUACGGGAGGCAGCAGUAGGGAAUCUUCCACAAUGGACGAAAGUCUGAUGGAGCAACGCCGCGUGAGUGAUGAAGGGUUUCGGCUCGUAAAACUCUGUUGUUGGAGAAGAACAGGUGUCAGAGUAACUGUUGACAUCUUGACGGUAUCCAACCAGAAAGCCACGGCUAACUACGUGCCAGCAGCCGCGGUAAUACGUAGGUGGCAAGCGUUGUCCGGAUUUAUUGGGCGUAAAGCGAGCGCAGGCGGUUUUUUAGGUCUGAUGUGAAAGCCUUCGGCUUAACCGGAGAAGUGCAUCGGAAACCGGGAGACUUGAGUGCAGAAGAGGACAGUGGAACUCCAUGUGUAGCGGUGAAAUGCGUAGAUAUAUGGAAGAACACCAGUGGCGAAGGCGGCUGUCUGGUCUGUAACUGACGCUGAGGCUCGAAAGCAUGGGUAGCGAACAGGAUUAGAUACCCUGGUAGUCCAUGCCGUAAACGAUGAGUGCUAAGUGUUG
rnacentral:rRNA from 1 species